UACUAAAUGUUCAAUUAUUUUCAAUGAA
rnacentral:sRNA from 1 species